GACGAAGGGGGCUAGCGUUGUUCGGAAUUACUGGGCGUAAAGCGCGUGUAGGCGGUUGCCCAAGUCGGGUGUGAAAGCCUUGAGCUCAACUCAAGAAAUGCACUCGGUACUGGGUGACUAGAGGACCGGAGAGGAUAGUGGAAUUCCCAGUGUAGUGGUGAAAUACGUAGAGAUUGGGAAGAACACCAGUGGCGAAGGCGACUCACUGGACACAUAUUGACGCUGAGGUGCGAAAGCGUGGGGAGCAAACAGG
rnacentral:rRNA from 1 species